GGGUCAGUGGCACAAUGGAUAAUGCAUCUGACUAGGGAUCGGAAGGUUCCAGGUUCGACUCCUGGCUGGUUCC